ensembl:lncRNA novel transcript
GGGAGGGGGCCAGGCAGCCGUUAGACAGCACAACCGAACCCAACACCGGGGCCCAACGGCAGGGGCUUGGGCAGGAGCAAGGUCCGAGGGCUGCCAGGUCCACGCUGCUUUUAUGAGCUGUAACACUCACCGCGAAGAUCUGCAGCUUCACUCCUGAGCCCAGCGAGACCACGAGCCCACCGGGAGGAACAAACAACUCCAGACGCGCUGCCUUAAGAGCUGUAACACUUGCCGUGAAGGUCUGCAGCUUCACUCCUGAGCCAGCGAGACCACGAACCCACCAGAAGGAAGAAACUCCGAACACAUCUCAACAUCAGAACGGACAGACUCCAGACGCACCACCUUAAGAGCUGUAACACUCACCGCGAGGUUCCGCGGCUUCAUUCUUGAACAAUGAAUCCUCCAAUGUACCUGACUCUCCCUUUGCGAAGAGCAUCUCCGUGGCAGAAAUCUGAAAAUGCCCCUGGGGAGACACAUGCACAAGACAGUUCGUGAGCCACACAUCUCCCCACACCAAGCUCCUCCAUACAAGACCUCGGACUGCAUCACAGCUAUCAGCUUCCCAGUUUGCACAAUUCAUCAAGAAAUUAUGCGGGGUCACUGGCACAAAUGAUGAGGCAUCUCCUGGAAGCUUAACUUCUUAUCCAUCCCAUCUCUUGGACAGAUGAUGCCAGUUAAUUACUUUGAAUGCUCUGCUGCUAUGGUGAGCUGCACGUCUGGAGGCUUCACAGAGACACUGGGUGAAUCUAAAUGAUGAGUUUGAUGGUGACCUGGAGGUGAAACUGUGACUUCAUGAUGUUCUAGAGGCUGACCUGGGGUCUCCUGCUGGGUCAGAGAAGAUUCGACCUCCCCAGAAGACUCAGAAGGCUGAACUGGCUGCUGCUGCUCACUGAUGGAAAGUUCAUGCUCCAUAGGAGGAACUGGAGGCUCAAUUGGGGCCUCCUGUUGGGUUGCAGAAGGUUCCACCUCCUCUGGAAACUGAAUUGGGGUCUCCUGCUGGGUUUGGGAAGAUUCUGUCUCAUUGGUAGGCUCUGAAGUUAUGGUAACCUCCACAUCUGCAGGUUUAACUGUAAUGUUGGGCAAGUGAUAAUAAGCUUGAUCCUCACCUGGAGGUUGAACUGACACCUCAUGAUUCGGUAGAGUUAGACUCUCCAUAGAGGACUCUGGAGGCAGAGCUGGGGCCUCCUGCUGCAUUGAAGAAGGUUCUUCCUCAAGGAGCUGUGGAAGCUGUGCUGGGGCUUCUUGUUGGAGUGAAGAGGACUGGAUGUCUUCAAGGGUCUCUGGAUUUUGAGUUUCGGGCUCUAGAUGGAAUUGAGAAGGUCCAACUUGCUCAGAGGGCCCUGGAGGCUCAUCUGACUUCACCCGGAGUUCUGGAGGCAGGCUACCGGGAUACGGUGUAUCUGUACUGGAAUAUUCAUUCUGCAAAUUCUGUUUCUG